rnacentral:rRNA from 1 species
CCAGUGUGAUUCGUCACACUAUCAUUAACUGAAUCCAUAGGUUAAUGAGGCGAACCGGGGGAACUGAAACAUCUAAGUACCCCGAGGAAAAGAAAUCAACCGAGAUUCCCCCAGUAGCGGCGAGCGAACGGGGAGGAGCCCAGAGCCUGAAUCAGCAUGUGUGUUAGUGGAAGCGUCUGGAAAGGCGCGCGAUACAGGGUGACAGCCCCGUACACAAAAGCGCAUGUGCUGUGAGCUCGAUGAGUAGGGCGGGACACGUGGUAUCCUGUCUGAAUAUGGGGGGACCAUCCUCCAAGGCUAAAUACUCCUGACUGACCGAUAGUGAACCAGUACCGUGAGGGAAAGGCGAAAAGAACCCCGGCGAGGGGAGUGAAAAAGAACCUGAAACCGUGUACGUACAAGCAGUGGGAGCACCCUUUGGGUGUGACUGCGUACCUUUUGUAUAAUGGGUCAGCGACUUAUAUUCUGUAGCAAGGUUAACCGAAUAGGGGAGCCGGAGGGAAACCGAGUCUUAACCGGGCGUUAAGUUGCAGGGUAUAGACCCGAAACCCGGUGAUCUAGCCAUGGGCAGGUUGAAGGUUGGGUAACACUAACUGGAGGACCGAACCGACUAAUGUUGAAAAAUUAGCGGAUGACCUGUGGCUGGGGGUGAAAGGCCAAUCAAACCGGGAGAUAGCUGGUUCUCCCCGAAAGCUAUUUAGGUAGCGCCUCGUGAAUUCAUCUCCGGGGGUAGAGCACUGUUUCGGCUAGGGGGCCAUCCCGGCUUACCAACCCGAUGCAAACUGCGAAUACCGGAGAAUGUUAUCACGGGAGACACACGGCGGGUGCUAACGUCCGUCGUGAAGAGGGAAACAACCCAGACCGCCAGCUAAGGUCCCAAAGUCAUGGUUAAGUGGGAAACGAUGUGGGAAGGCCCAGACAGCCAGGAUGUUGGCUUAGAAGCAGCCAUCAUUUAAAGAAAGCGUAAUAGCUCACUGGUCGAGUCGGCCUGCGCGGAAGAUGUAACGGGGCUAAACCAUGCACCGAAGCUGCGGCAGCGACACUGUGUGUUGUUGGGUAGGGGAGCGUUCUGUAAGCCUGUGAAGGUGUGUCGUGAGGCAUGCUGGAGGUAUCAGAAGUGCGAAUGCUGACAUAAGUAACGAUAAAGCGGGUGAAAAGCCCGCUCGCCGGAAGACCAAGGGUUCCUGUCCAACGUUAAUCGGGGCAGGGUGAGUCGACCCCUAAGGCGAGGCCGAAAGGCGUAGUCGAUGGGAAACGGGUUAAUAUUCCCGUACUUGGUGUUACUGCGAAGGGGGGACGGAGAAGGCUAUGUUGGCCGGGCGACGGUUGUCCCGGUUUAAGCGUGUAGGUGUGUGUUCCAGGUAAAUCCGGUUCACUUUAACACUGAGGCGUGACGACGAGGCACUACGGUGCUGAAGCAACAAAUGCCCUGCUUCCAGGAAAAGCCUCUAAGCAUCAGGUAACAUCAAAUCGUACCCCAAACCGACACAGGUGGUCAGGUAGAGAAUACCAAGGCGCUUGAGAGAACUCGGGUGAAGGAACUAGGCAAAAUGGUGCCGUAACUUCGGGAGAAGGCACGCUGACACGUAGGUGAAGUGAUUUACUCAUGGAGCUGAAGUCAGUCGAAGAUACCAGCUGGCUGCAACUGUUUAUUAAAAACACAGCACUGUGCAAACACGAAAGUGGACGUAUACGGUGUGACGCCUGCCCGGUGCCGGAAGGUUAAUUGAUGGGGUCAGCGCAAGCGAAGCUCCUGAUCGAAGCCCCGGUAAACGGCGGCCGUAACUAUAACGGUCCUAAGGUAGCGAAAUUCCUUGUCGGGUAAGUUCCGACCUGCACGAAUGGCGUAAUGAUGGCCAGGCUGUCUCCACCCGAGACUCAGUGAAAUUGAACUCGCUGUGAAGAUGCAGUGUACCCGCGGCAAGACGGAAAGACCCCGUGAACCUUUACUAUAGCUUGACACUGAACAUUGAGCCUUGAUGUGUAGGAUAGGUGGGAGGCUUUGAAGUGUGGACGCCAGUCUGCAUGGAGCCGACCUUGAAAUACCACCCUUUAAUGUUUGAUGUUCUAACGUGGACCCGUUACCCGGGUUGCGGACAGUGUCUGGUGGGUAGUUUGACUGGGGCGGUCUCCUCCUAAAGAGUAACGGAGGAGCACGAAGGUUGGCUAAUCCUGGUCGGACAUCAGGAGGUUAGUGCAAUGGCAUAAGCCAGCUUGACUGCGAGCGUGACGGCGCGAGCAGGUGCGAAAGCAGGUCAUAGUGAUCCGGUGGUUCUGAAUGGAAGGGCCAUCGCUCAACGGAUAAAAGGUACUCCGGGGAUAACAGGCUGAUACCGCCCAAGAGUUCAUAUCGACGGCGGUGUUUGGCACCUCGAUGUCGGCUCAUCACAUCCUGGGGCUGAAGUAGGUCCCAAGGGUAUGGCUGUUCGCCAUUUAAAGUGGUACGCGAGCUGGGUUUAGAACGUCGUGAGACAGUUCGGUCCCUAUCUGCCGUGGGCGCUGGAGAACUGAGGGGGGCUGCUCCUAGUACGAGAGGACCGGAGUGGACGCAUCACUGGUGUUCGGGUUGUCAUGCCAAUGGCACUGCCCGGUAGCUAAAUGCGGAAGAGAUAAGUGCUGAAAGCAUCUAAGCACGAAACUUGCCCCGAGAUGAGUUCUCCCUGAGACUUAGAGUCUCCUGAAGGAACGUUGAAGACGACGACGUUGAUAGGCCGGGUGUGUAAGCGCAGCGAUGCGUUGAGCUAACCGGUACUAAUGAACCGUGAGGCUUAACCUUACAACGCCGAAG